UACGUAGGGUGCAAGCGUUGUCCGGAAUUAUUGGGCGUAAAGAGCUCGUAGGCGGCUUGUCGCGUCGACCGUGAAACCUCACAGCUCAACUGUGAGCCUGCGGUCGAUACGGGCAGGCUAGAGUUCGGUAGGGGAGACUGGAAUUCCUGGUGUAGCGGUGGAAUGCGCAGAUAUCAGGAGGAACACCGGUGGCGAAGGCGGGUCUCUGGGCAGUAACUGACGCUGAGGAGCGAAAGCGUGGGGAGCGAACAGG
rnacentral:rRNA from 1 species